rnacentral:rRNA from 1 species
UACGAAGGGGGCUAGCGUUGUUCGGAUUUGCUGGGCGUAAAGCGCGUGUAGGCGGGUCGUUAAGUUGGGGGUGAAAUCCCGGAGCUCAAAUCCGGAACUGCCUUUAAAACUGGCGACCUGGACUCAAGCAGAGGCAAGUGGAAUUGCGAGUGUAGAGGUGAAAUUCGUAGAUAUUCGCAGGAACACCAGUGGCGAAGGCGACUUGCUGGGCCUGUAGUGACGCUGAGACGCGAAAGCGUGGGGAGCAAACAGG